rnacentral:lncRNA from 1 species
GUUUUGUAAGCUGAAAUUACCUCUACACAAGAAAAUGGCUUAAAUUUGAAUUCAGCUCUGAUUACUAUUCCAUUCGGCUCAUUUACUAAGAACAUAGUCCAUUUACUAAGAACAUAGUCAAGUCCUAGAACAUAUUUUAAGAGACUAGAAAAGGGUUAUUCUGCUUUUUUUUCAGUGAUGGGGAUCAUCAGGUCCAGGGCCUUGCACAUGCUAAGCAAGUACUCUAAAGCUGAACUAUACCCCCAGCCCUGUUCUGCUUUUUAAAACCACUGCUAUUGGGUGGGAUCCCCCAAACCAGUGAAUUUGGGUCCCCGCUCUAUUUUCCACUAGUUCAAUGAUUUAAAUAGAUAAACUUCGGAAUUGAGACUUCCGACUCUAGAGCAUGAAAAAAAGUGCAGAGAGCAAAGGAAAUUGAAAAGAAUGCCCAGAGUAUACAUCUUCCUUCUGGAGUUGGAGUCAAGUAUAUUUCUAGAAAGGCAAUCACACUGUAGUGAAAAAGCUACAUUUUAAGCCUGUAUGUCCCAGCUAUUCCAAAGGCUCACUUGGGCCCAGGAGUUCCAGAGGAUACUGAACAACAUAGUGAAACCAUUUCAAAAUAACCAAAAAAAAAAAAAAAACACCUGUAACAGUGAUCCCUUUACCUUCUGAAUGUAGUCCUCAUUGCUCUAAGGUUUAUUAUUAUUUUUUUAAAGUGUUUUUUUCUUCUCUUCCCCGCCCCCCCAACAAGAUUAGGAAGACAGUGUUAUCUUUUCUUCCCCAGUUAACUGCCCUUGAAUAGAACACACCCACUGCAGGAAGGAGAUGCCUGACUGACAAUCUCCCAAAUUAACAGGUGAAUCCUAAGAGAAAAACAGGAUGCCCUGGGACCCCCUACUGGAAUGUAACCCUUGAAAAAUUCCUUUAACCCCGCCCCCACCCACCCAUCCAGA